UGUUGGUUCUCCCGCAACGCUACUCUGUUUACCAGGUCAGGUCCGGAAGGAAGCAGCCAGAGCAGACGACGUGUGUGCCGGGAUGUAG
rnacentral:SRP_RNA from 1 species